rnacentral:misc_RNA from 1 species
CUGAUUUGCUCUGAUUAUGGGGAUUUUCACAAGGGAGGAAAAUGAAAGAAAAUUAGAUAAGAGGAAAGAAAAGGAAAGGAAUCUGUGGUUGAAGGGAAUGGAAUCAAUCAAAGUCUGAAAAUUUAUAAAUACAAAUGAAACCCAAAAGAAAAGCACCUCCAGAAAGCUCCAAUAUAAGGAAAAGGAGAAGAAAGGAGGGCGAUUCCUUUGGCCCUUUGCCUAAAGAUUCCACCAACCUUCUUGCUUUCUCUCUGUUUUUUAAUUUCUUUACCUUUCUUUCUAC